UGUAACAGACAUUUCCUGUAAGCGUUGUUUAGCCAAAUGACCAUGUAAGAUAUUGGGUUGUUUACAGUACCAGCCUAACCACGUGACAUUGAACAAUGAAGAACCAAAAGAGAAGAUGUGUGGAGAGGAUAGGCAGAGGCAGUGGGACAAUGUUAUCAGAUGCACCUCGCAGGGUGCAGUUUUUAUUCCUCUCUCUGCUCGAGCAAAGAAGCCUCUCCACUUACAAGGCAACAAUUAUCGAAAACAAACAAUCAAGCAUUUGGGCCAACCUUCUCCCAUCUAAGUACUUAUGUUUUGUUCUCAAACUGAUCCUGCUACGCAAAGAGUUCAGUUCCCAGGAUCCCUCCCACUUGCCCUAGAACUACUGUGACACAGUGGAGAAAUACUGACUCUGAGAUGCUGCAGUUCAUAAUGUCACAGGGGACUCCUGAAGCUGGAUGGAGCACUGUUCCUGUCGUGCUCCAGUUGGGCGAAUGCUAUGAAUCGUAUGAUGGAUGGUUCUGGGGGUGCACUGCUGCUUUAAACAGGAAGCUCUUCUAGGAUCAUCCCAGCUCACAAAUGAGGCCACUUCCUUAACAAUACAAUAACAGGAAUUUGAUCAGAAACUUCAAAAUUUGAUUCUAGAAGGUUGCUUUCAUUCUUGCAUUAUCUCCAGUUACUAGUUAUACAAGUUGUGCUUGUUUAAAAAAACAGGCUUUUCACAUAGACAAAUCUUGCUCUUUUAUGAUUGUUAAAAUAUCAUCCUAUUUUUGUCUUCGUUUUUUUUUUGCCUAGACCAGAUUUACAUUGCCAAUAUCACAUAUGAUUCUGCAGGAAAUACUUCUAAGAGCUUUUCUUAUCCCUAUGUGAUACACCAGGAGAAUAGGAGUUUUAGACACACGCUGUUCAGAUACAUGUGGCUCAAGAGGUAAGCCUCAGCCCUCCUUGUUUUCAUUUGCUAACCUCUAUACAGAUACAAGAAGUACUACAGCAAAAUAUAACAGAAUGCUCUAUACUGCAGAACUAAAUUACUAUCCUUGUUUUUCACUGAUAAGAUUUGCUUUCAGGAGACCCAGGAAAGGUCGAGGGUAGGAAAUCAUCUCACCUAGUGAGUGCUGUGUCCAGUUCUGGGUUCCCCAGCACUAGAGAGGCACGCGCAUAGUGGAGCAAGUUCUGUGAGAGAAAGGUGACCCAGAGCAGAGCAUGUGUCAUACAAGGAGAGGCCGAGGCAGCUGGAAUUGUUUAGCUGGGAGGAGGGAAGGCUCAGAGAGAUUUUAUCUGUGUGUGUAAAUACUAAAAGGAAGGUAGUAAAAGAACCAGCAGAACCAGCAUCUUUUCAGUGCUGUCCAGUCAGAGGACAAGAGGCAAUAGGGUGAACUGAAAGACAGGAAAUUCCAAUCACAUAGAAAAAAUACCCUUUUUGCAGUGACGGUAGCCAAACACUGAAGCAUGUUUCCCAAAGGGGGUGAAGAGUCUUCUGCCCUGGGGAUCCUCAAAUUCCAACUGGACAAGGCACUGAGCAACCUUCUGUGCUUGUGCCAGGCUUAAGCAAGGUGCGGGUGGUGCUAGGUAAUCUGAUGGUGUCCCUUCUAGCCUCAGCUAUUACUGUUCCAUGUUUCAAUCAAACUAGGGCAGCCUGAAAGUUUUCAGAUAAAGUUUGUCCUUCACAAGUGGAGCCCAUCACCCCAAGAAGCCAGGCACAGCCUCAAGUUAUUGUUGCCCAAGAGUUUAUAGUCAUGAACACAGGAUUUGUGCAUACCAGAAGUGAAAUGCACACGGACAAAGGCUUGAAGAGCAGACUUCAACAGUUCCCUUUGGCAGUCUAUUCUAAAACACUACUAGAUGACCUCCAAAUGGAAUUUCCAAGUGAAAAGAGACCUUUGACUGAAAAAAGUCACAAAAUCCUCUCAAAUUGCUGUUGAAGUCUGUUCAUUCAAGGAACCUGCUGGGAAACACUAUGAUUCAACCAUGCACAGAGUUGUGUUGUUAAUAUAUUUGAAGAACGUGAUUAA